ACGAUGAUGCCCAGCUUGCUGGGUGGAUUAGUGGCGAACGGGUGAGUAAUACGUGAGUAACCUGCCCUUGACUCUGGGAUAAGCCUGGGAAACUGGGUCUAAUACUGGAUACUACUUCCUGCCGCAUGGUGGGUGGUGGAAAGGGUUUUACUGGUUUUGGAUGGGCUCACGGCCUAUCAGCUUGUUGGUGGGGUAAUGGCUCACCAAGGCGACGACGGGUAGCCGGCCUGAGAGGGUGACCGGCCACACUGGGACUGAGACACGGCCCAGACUCCUACGGGAGGCAGCAGUGGGGAAUAUUGCACAAUGGGCGGAAGCCUGAUGCAGCGACGCCGCGUGAGGGAUGACGGCCUUCGGGUUGUAAACCUCUUUCAGUAGGGAAGAAGCGAGAGUGACGGUACCUGCAGAAGAAGCGCCGGCUAACUACGUGCCAGCAGCCGCGGUAAUACGUAGGGCGCAAGCGUUGUCCGGAAUUAUUGGGCGUAAAGAGCUCGUAGGCGGUUUGUCGCGUCUGCUGUGAAAGCCCGGGGCUCAACCCCGGGUCUGCAGUGGGUACGGGCAGACUAGAGUGCAGUAGGGGAGACUGGAAUUCCUGGUGUAGCGGUGAAAUGCGCAGAUAUCAGGAGGAACACCGAUGGCGAAGGCAGGUCUCUGGGCUGUUACUGACGCUGAGGAGCGAAAGCAUGGGGAGCGAACAGGAUUAGAUACCCUGGUAGUCCAUGCCGUAAACGUUGGGCACUAGGUGUGGGGGACAUUCCACGUUUUCCGCGCCGUAGCUAACGCAUUAAGUGCCCCGCCUGGGGAGUACGGCCGCAAGGCUAAAACUCAAAGGAAUUGACGGGGGCCCGCACAAGCGGCGGAGCAUGCGGAUUAAUUCGAUGCAACGCGAAGAACCUUACCAAGGCUUGACAUUCACCGGACCGCCCCAGAGAUGGGGUUUCCCUUCGGGGCUGGUGGACAGGUGGUGCAUGGUUGUCGUCAGCUCGUGUCGUGAGAUGUUGGGUUAAGUCCCGCAACGAGCGCAACCCUCGUUCUAUGUUGCCAGCACGUGAUGGUGGGGACUCAUAGGAGACUGCCGGGGUCAACUCGGAGGAAGGUGGGGAUGACGUCAAAUCAUCAUGCCCCUUAUGUCUUGGGCUUCACGCAUGCUACAAUGGCCGGUACAAAGGGUUGCGAUACUGUGAGGUGGAGCUAAUCCCAAAAAGCCGGUCUCAGUUCGGAUUGAGGUCUGCAACUCGACCUCAUGAAGUCGGAGUCGCUAGUAAUCGCAGAUCAGCAACGCUGCGGUGAAUACGUUCCCGGGCCUUGUACACACCGCCCGUCAAGUCACGAAAGUUGGUAACACCCGAAGCCGGUGGCCUAACCC
rnacentral:rRNA from 1 species